AGCAAGAGAGCCAGCUGAUCCUCUGUGGUUCUAGGAGCAACUUGAGGAACUAGACAAUACAUUUAGCUAGUAAACAACCCACUUGAAGGAGUUGGUGAAGAGCACAAUCUCGAUCAAAGAUUGGAAUUCUAGACACUUCACUUGAGGUUCUGAAACGCAUGAAGUCUUGGAGAACUAGAACAGAA